rnacentral:rRNA from 1 species
UACGGAGGAUCCAAGCGUUAUCCGGAUUUAUUGGGUUUAAAGGGUGCGUAGGCGGAUCUUUAAGUCAGUGGUGAAAGUUUGUAGCUCAACUAUAAAAUUGCCAUUGAAACUGAAGAUCUUGAGUGUAAAUGAGGUAGGCGGAAUGUGUUGUGUAGCGGUGAAAUGCUUAGAUAUAACACAGAACACCGAUUGCGAAGGCAGCUUACUGGGAUACAACUGACGCUGAGGCACGAAAGCGUGGGGAUCAAACAGG